CAACAAAAAAAUCCAGAAAAACGCACGUCAAAAUGUUAUAAAUUGAUUUGCAUUUUAAUUGUCAUUAAGGUUUUGAGGCUGACAUUUGGCAACUUGAACCUUCAGCUCCCUCCACAGAUUUUCUAUGGGAUUAAGGUCUGGAGACUGGCUAGGCCACUCCAGGACCUUAAUGUGCUUCUUCUUGAGCCACUCCUUUGUUGCCUUGGCCGUGUGUUUUGGGUCAUUGUCAUGCUGGAAUACCCAUCCACGACCCAUUUUCAAUGCCCUGGCUGAGGGAAGGAGGUUUUCACCCAAGAUUUGACGGUACAUGGCCCCGUCCAUCGUCCCUUUGAUGCGGUGAAGUUGUCCUGUCCCCUUAGCAGAAAAACACCCCCAAAGCAUAAUGUUUCCACCUCCAUGUUUGAUAUUGGGGAUGGUGUUCUUGGGGUCAUAGGCAGCAUUCCUCCUCCUCCAAACACGGCGAGUUGAGUUGAUGCCAAAGAGCUCCAUUUUGGUCUCAUCUGACUACAACACUUUCACCCAGUUGUCCUCUGAACCAUUCAGAUGUUCAUUGGCAAAAUUCAGACGGGCAUGUAUAUGUGCUUUCUUGAGCAGCGGACCUUGCGGGCGCUGCAGGAUUUCAGUCCUUCACGGCGUAGUGUGUUACCAAUUGUUUUCUUGGUGACUAUGGUCCCAGCUGCCUUGAGAUCAUUGACUAGAUCCUCCCGUGUAGUUCUGGGCUGAUUCCUCACUGUUCUCAUGAUCAUUGCAACUCCACGAGGUGAGAUCUUGCAUGGAUCCCCAGGCCGAGGGAGAUUGUCAGUUCUUUUGUGCUUCUUCCAUUUGCGAAUAAUCGCACCAACUGUUGUCCCCUUCUCACCAAGCUGCUUGGCAAUGGUCUUGUAGCCCAUUCCAGACUUCUGUAGCUCCCUUUAAGAGUGUGCUCCUAAUCUCAGCUCGUCACCUGUAUAAAAUACACCUGGGAGCCAGAAAUCUUUCUGAUUGAGAGGGAGUCAAAUACUUAUUUCCCUCAUUAAAAUGCAAAUCAAUUUAUAACAUUUUUAACAUACGUUUUUCUGGAUUUUCUUGUUGUUAUUCUGUCUCUCACUGUUCAAAUAAAUCUACCAUUAAAAUUAUAGACUGAUCAUUUCUUUGUCCGUGGGCAAACGUACAAAACAGCAGGGGAUCAAAUACUUUUUUCCCUCACUGUACUUUAUUUUAUGUCAUCAUUAGCAAGCUCGCUAAAAAC
ensembl:lncRNA